AGAAUCUUUCGCAAUGCCCGAAAGGGUGACGAAGCGACGCCGCGUGUGGGAAGAAGGCCUUCGGGUUGUAAACCACUGUCGGGAGUUAAGAAAUGCAAGGGUGUUAAUAGCGCCCUUGCUUGACUAAGGCUCCGGAGGAAGCUACGGCUAACUCUGUGCCAGCAGCCGCGGUAAUACAGAGGUGGCAAGCGUUGUUCGGAAUUAUUGGGCGUAAAGAGCACGUAGGCGGCCUUGAAAGUCAGUUGUGAAAUCCUUCCGCUUAACGGAAGAACUGCAUCUGAUACUCCAGGGCUCGAGUGCGGGAGGGGAGAGUGGAACUUCUGGUGGAGCGGUGAAAUGCGUAGAUAUCAGAAGGAACGCCGGCGGCGAAAGCGGCUCUCUGGUCCGUAACUGACGCUGAGUGUGCGAAAGCUAGGGGAUCAAACGGGAUUAGAUACCCCGGUAGUCCUAGCCGUAAACGAUGGGCACUAAGUAGAGGGGUUUUGAUUAUCUCUCUGCCGGAGCUAACGCAUUAAGUGCCCCGCCUGGGAAGUACGGCCGCAAGGCUAAAACUCAAAAGAAUUGACGGGGGCUCGCACAAGCGGUGGAGCAUGUGGCUUAAUUCGAUGCAACGCGAAGAACCUUACCGGGGUUUGACAUGGUAGAAGUAGGAACCCGAAAGGGUAACGAACGGUAUCCAGUCCGUAACUAUCACAGGUGUUGCAUGGCUG
rnacentral:rRNA from 1 species